rnacentral:piRNA from 1 species
UGAGUACACUUGUCUUUCUGU